CCCAACUACACAGAGGCUAUGUGUGGACUCUGUUUCUGACACCCCAGGUCCUGAAGACCCUUUGGCAACACCAGGAGCUCCCUCCAGUCUCUUGCGAGUCAUACUUGACGAGGACCAGCUCUGCUCCUGGCACACGGGCCACCUCUGCUUUGCCUCCUGCAUUGUCACAGCCCUGAGCCUGCCUGAGUCCUAAAACAACCAGGACCUCGGAAGCCUGGACAUCACAGAGACUUCUGGCAGAGACAAAGAUGGCCUCCAGCUUGGUUGAGGUGGCAGCAAGGCAGUGAGAGUCCAUAGGGGUGCCCAAGGAGGGGCCUGGGGGAAAUCAAAAGCAGUCAUUUCUUCUGGGACUUGUCAGUUUUGCUUGGAGGGAUGGUUCCCUUUGGUUAUCCCCAAAUUUAGUGAAAAGGCAGAGACCAGUGCUAGCUGUGCCACGUAACUAAGGGAAGAGCUCUUCCGGGCUGGAGUU
rnacentral:lncRNA from 1 species